rnacentral:tRNA from 3 species
GGGCGGUUAGCUCAAUUGGUAGAGCGCGAAAUUGACGUUUUCGAGGCAAUAGGUUCGAAUCCUAUACCGCCCACCA